UACGAAGGGGGCUAGCGUUGCUCGGAAUGACUGGGCGUAAAGGGCGCGUAGGCGGUCUGCAUAGUCAGACGUGAAAUUCCUGGGCUUAACCUGGGGGCUGCGUUUGAUACGUGCGGACUUGAGUGGGGAAGAGGGUCGUGGAAUUCCCAGUGUAGAGGUGAAAUUCGUAGAUAUUGGGAAGAACACCGGUGGCGAAGGCGGCGACCUGGUCCUUGACUGACGCUGAGGCGCGAAAGCGUGGGGAGCAAACAGG
rnacentral:rRNA from 1 species